rnacentral:rRNA from 1 species
CGGGACGGGGUGGAGUAAUGUCUGGGAAACUGCCUGAUGGAGGGGGAUAACUACUGGAAACGGUAGCUAAUACCGCAUAACGUCGCAAGACCAAAGUGGGGGACCUUCGGGCCUCUUGCCAUCGGAUGUGCCCAGAUGGGAUUAGCUAGUAGGUGGGGUAACGGCUCACCUAGGCGACGAUCCCUAGCUGGUCUGAGAGGAUGACCAGCCACACUGGAACUGAGACACGGUCCAG